AAGGAAAGAGCUUAAAAGAUGGAGAGAGUUGAAAAUGUGGAACGAAAGAGAGAAAAAAGAUGAAAGUAGUGUCUUGGAAAAGAAAAAGAAAAAAAAAGUAAUGUCUUGAAAAAGAAAAAAAUUGGUGUCUUGGAAAAGAAAAAUUUUAACUUUUAUCAACUUAAUUAUUAAAAGAAUACAGUGGGGCAUUUUUAAAACGUGAAGUGGGGUCAAUUUUGAAAUUAUGAGCCUACAAUUAGGAGAAGUUGAAGAAGAAGGACAUAUGUAAUCCCUAAUUUAUUUAGAAUUUAUUACUUGUAUGAACUUUUGAGUCCACAGACAUGAAUUCUUCUUGCAGAAUUCAAUCUCUCAGGGAUUUGCAUUCAAAUAGUCUUGAUUUAUAAUUGUUGGGACUAAGAUUCUGGUAGUGAUUGAUAUCGAAAUUUAAAUAAUUUUUUAUUUAUUUUCUUUUUCCAACCACACCUUUAUGAUUUGCCUUUGCAGUUUUUUGAUGUCAAUCAAAGUAUUGCCCCUUUCUUUUGAAUUGCAUAGCAUUCCUGCAAUGUCAGUUUGGUUGUGUUGUGUUCUUGUAGAAUUUUCACUUUGCCAAGUAAAUAGCAAGUUGUCAUUGUCAAAUCAAUUUGGAGAGGCUGAAAAUAUGGUUUUUGGUUAUUCAGGGGCACUUAUUCAUUAAUUUGUUACGACGUUCUGUAAUUUCUUUCCUUCAAAUCCAUCAAGUAUAACUGUGAUGUUUACAACAUGUAAAAUUGUUGUUGCAGUUAUCAGAGCUUGUGAAUGU
rnacentral:misc_RNA from 1 species